rnacentral:rRNA from 1 species
GACGAACGCUGGCGGCGCGCUUAACACAUGCAAGUCGAGCGGUAAGGCCCUUUCGGGGGUACACGAGCGGCGAACGGGUGAGUAACACGUGGGUGACCUGCCCUCAGCUCUGGGAUAAGCCUGGGAAACGUGGGUCUAAUACUGGAUAUGACUCCACGGUGCAUGUCGUGGGGUGGAAAGCCUUGUGCGGCUGAGGAUGGGCCCGCGGCCUAUCAGCUUGUUGGUGGGGUGANGGCCUACCAAGGCGACGACGGGUAGCCGGCCUGAGAGGGCGACCGGCCACACUGGGACUGAGACACGGCCCCAGACUCCUACGGGGAGGCAGCAGUGGGGGAAUCUUGCGACAAUGGGCGAAAGCCUGACGCAGCGAC